rnacentral:rRNA from 1 species
UACGUAGGUGGCAAGCGUUGUCCGGAAUUACUGGGUGUAAAGCGCGUGUAGGCGGCAGACCAAGUCGGCGGUGAAAGCGCCCGGCUCAACUGGGCGAGGUCCGUGGAAACUGGUCAGCUGGAGGACGGUAGAGGCGAGUGGAAUUCCCGGUGUAGCGGUGAAAUGCGUAGAGAUCGGGAGGAACACCCGUGGCGAAGGCGGCCAUCUGGACCAGCACUGACGCUGAGGCACGAAAGCGUGGGGAGCGAACAGG